rnacentral:rRNA from 1 species
UACAGAGGUCUCAAGCGUUGUUCGGAUUCAUUGGGCGUAAAGGGUGCGUAGGUGGCGCGAUAAGUCGGGUGUGAAAUCUCGGAGCUUAACUCCGAAAUUGCAUUCGAUACUGCCGUGCUCGAGGACUGGAGAGGAGACUGGAAUUCCUGGUGUAGCGGUGAAAUGCGCAGAUAUCAGGAGGAACACCGAUGGCGAAGGCAGUGUUCUGGGCCAGUACUGACGCUGAGGAGCGAAAGCGUGGGGAGCAAACAGG